rnacentral:rRNA from 1 species
AGGAAUGUAUAGCAAUUGCUACUUGCACCAUUGUAAAAAUGAUGCAAGAUCGACUAUGUUGAAUAAAAUUCUAGGUAGAAUUUUGAUAAUGACAUUGUCUACCUAUGUGUCUUGACCAAAUUACGUGCCAGCAGUCGCGGUAAUACGUAGAAGACUAGUGUUAUUCAUGUUUAAUCGGUUUAAAGGGUACCUAGACGGCAGAUCAAGCUUACAAUAAAUGACAUCAGAAAGAACAAGUAUAGAAAAUAAAAGGACUAAUCUGCUAGAGUUACUUCUGAGGGGGCUAUAAAGUACUACUGGUGUAGAGAUGAAAUUCUAUGAUACCUUUUUUCGAAAGAAAAGCUAUGGCACAGGUAUAGGCGAAGGCAUCCCCUUAUGUGAUAACUGACGUUGAGGGACGAAGGCUUCGAUUAACGAACAGGAUUAGAUACCCUGGUAGUUGAGGCAGUAAAUGAUGAAUGUCAUAGAUUAGAUGUAUAAGUUUAUUCUAUAAAUGAAAGUGUAAGCAUUCCACCUCGAGAGUAAUUUGGCAACAUUGGAACUGAAAUCAUUAGACCGUUUCUGAAACCAGUAGUGAAGUAUGUUGUUUAAUUUGAUAAUCCGCAAAAAACCUUACCACAAUUUGAAUAUUUAUAUUGUUAUUUCCUUAAUUUUUUAUUUCAUAUUGCAUAAAUAGUUGAACAAUUAAAUUAAAAACGACAUCCUCCGCAACAAAGUAUAUUUUAUUCAUGGAAAAUGCAUAAAAUAUAUGUCUUGUGGAACAAGGCAAUAACAGUAUAUUUACAAGCGUUGCACGGCUGUCUUCAGUUAAUGUCGCGAGGCUAUGGGUUAGUUCCAUUAAUUAACGUAAACCCCUUACUUUAUUUUUAUAUAGAGUAGUUCCCCCACUAAAUUGGAU